rnacentral:rRNA from 1 species
GGAACGUUACCAAUCUGUUGCCUCGGCGGGAUUCUCUUGCCCCGGGCGCGUCGCAGCCCCGGAUCCCAUGGCGCCCGCCGGAGGACCAACUCCAAACUCUUUUUUUCUCUCCGUCGCGGCUCCCGUCGCGGCUCUGUUUUAUUUUUGCUCUGAGCCUUUCUCGGCGACCCUAGCGGGCGUCUCGAAAAUGAAUCAAAACUUUCAACAACGGAUCUCUUGGUUCUGGCAUCGAUGAAGAACGCAGCGAAAUGCGAUAAGUAAUGUGAAUUGCAGAAUUCAGUGAAUCAUCGAAUCUUUGAACGCACAUUGCGCCCGCCAGUAUUCUGGCGGGCAUGCCUGUCCGAGCGUCAUUUCAACCCUCGAACCCCUCCGGGGGGUCGGCGUUGGGGAUCGGCCCCUCACCGGGCCGCCCCCGAAAUACAGUGGCGGUCUCGCCGCAGCCUCUCCUGCGCAGUAGUUUGCACACUCGCACCGGGAGCGCGGCGCGGCCACAGCCGUAAAACACCCCAAACUUCUGAAAUGUUGACCUCGGAUCAGGUAGGAAUACCCGCUGAACUUAAGCAUAUCAUAGCGGAGGAA